rnacentral:rRNA from 1 species
UUCCUACGGGACGCAGCAGUGAGGAAUAUUGGUCAAUGGGCUUACGCCUGAACCAGCCAAGUCGCGUGAGGGAAGACUGCCCUAUGGGUUGUAAACCUCUUUUGUCAGGGAGCAAUUGUCGCUACGUGUAGCGUUAUCGAGAGUACCUGAAGAAAAAGCAUCGGCUAACUCCGUGCCAGCAGCCGCGGUAAUACGGAGGAUGCGAGCGUUAUCCGGAUUUAUUGGGUUUAAAGGGUGCGUAGGCGGAAUGCCAAGUCAGCGGUAAAAUCGCGGGGCUCAACCUCGCGCCGCCGUUGAAACUGGCG